AUGUUCACUUUGACAGCAUGUUUUUUUUGGAAUAAUGCAAAGAAGAUUAACAUGGCUCCUAUGCAGGGGUGACAGGCAGAUUCAUGAAGCAUUCCAUGUUUUU
ensembl:snRNA U6 U6 spliceosomal RNA